rnacentral:rRNA from 1 species
AUUGAACGCUGGCGGCAGGCUUAACACAUGCAAGUCGAGCGGAGACUUCGGUCUUAGCGGCGAACGGGUGAGGAAUGCCUGGGAAUCUGCCUGGUAGUGGGGGAUAACGUUCCGAAAGGAACGCUAAUACCGCAUACGUCCUACGGGAGAAAGCAGGGGACCUUCGGGCCUUGCGCUAUCAGAUGAGCCCAGGUCGGAUUAGCUAGUAGGUGAGGUAAAGGCUCACCUAGGCGACGAUCCGUAGCUGGUCUGAGAGGAUGAUCAGCCACACUGGAACUGAGACACGGUCCAGACUCCUACGGGAGGCAGCAGUGGGGAAUAUUGGACAAUGGGCGAAAGCCUGAUCCAGCCAUGCCGCGUGUGUG